GAUGAAGAACGCAGCGAAAUGCGAUACUUGGUGUGAAUUGCAGAAUCCCGUGAACCAUCGAGUCUUUGAACGCAAGUUGCGCCCGAAGCCAUUAGGCCGAGGGCACGCCUGCCUGGGCGUCACACGUCGUUGCCCCCCCAUCUACUCCUUCGGGAUUGCGGGGGGCGGAUGAUGGCCUCCCGUGCGCCUCGCCGCGCGGUUGGCAUAAAUGCCAAGUCCUCGGCGACGCACGCCACGACAAUCGGUGGUUGCGAAACCUCGGUUGCCCGUCGUGUGCGGUCGUCGCGCAUCGAGGGCUCGAAAAAAUUGCCGGGUUCCGGCUCGGCUUUCAACGCGACCCCAGGUCAGGCGGGGUUACCCGCUGAAUUUAAGCACAUCAAUAAGCGGAGGA
rnacentral:misc_RNA from 1 species